GACGAACGCUGGCGGCGUGCUUAACACAUGCAAGUCGAACGGAAAGGCCCUGCUUUUGUGGGGUGCUCGAGUGGCGAACGGGUGAGUAACACGUGAGUAACCUGCCCUUGACUUUGGGAUAACUUCAGGAAACUGGGGCUAAUACAGGAUAGGAGCUCCUGCUGCAUGGUGGUGGUUGGAAAGUUUCGGCGGGUUUGGAUGGACUAGCGGCUUAUCAGCUUGUUGGGGGAGUAGCGGCCUACCCAGGCUUUGACGGGUAGUCCGCCUGAGAGGGUGGACGGCCACAAUGGGACUGAGGGACGGCCCAGAGUCCUACGGGAGGCAACAGGGGGGAAUAUUGCACAAUGGGCGGACGCCUGAUGCAGAAACGCCGCGUGCGGGAUGACGGCCUUCGGGUUGGAAACCGCUUUCGCCUGUGACGAAGCGUGAGUGACGGUAAUGGGUAAAGAAGCACCGGCUAACUACGUG
rnacentral:rRNA from 1 species